rnacentral:rRNA from 1 species
UACGUAGGUGGCGAGCGUUGUCCGGAUUUACUGGGCGUAAAGAGCGCGCAGGCGGCUGGUCAAGUCCGAUGUGAAAGCUCCCGGCUUAACUGGGAAAUUGCAUCGGAAACUGAUCGGCUGGAAGGUGGGAGAGGGUAGCGGAAUUCCCGGUGUAGCGGUGAAAUGCGUAGAUAUCAGGAAGAACACCAACGGCGAAGGCAGCUCGCUGGGACGGUACUGACGCUGAGACGCGAAAGCGUGGGGAGCGAACAGG